UUUUUUUUUUUUUUUUUUUUUUGAGACAGAGUCUCACUCUUGUCGCCCAGGCCAGAAUGCAGUGGCUCAAUCUCAGCUCACUGCAACCUCCCAGGUUCAAGCAAUUCUUCUGCCUCAGCCUCCCAAGUAGCUGGGAUUACAGGCACAUGCCACCAUGCCUGGCUAAUUUUUGUAUUUUUAGUAGAGACGGGGUUUCACCAUGUUGGCCAGGCUGGUCUCGAACUCCUGACCUCGUGAUCCGCCCACCUCAACCUCCCAAAGUGCUGGGAUUACAGGCGUGAGCCACCGAGCGUGGCCCUUGUUCUAUUGUCUUGCCGAUCUUUCUCCCUGUAUUAAUUUCCUUAGCAAACAGUUUCUGGGUCACCCUUUUGGUUCCCUGUCCUGAACAUGCCUUUUCUCCCUUUAUGUGGCCAGGCUGAGAAUUUUCCAAGACUUUCUGCUUUGCUUCCCUUUUGAUUAUAAAUUUCAUCUUUAAGUCGUUUUCCCUCUUGCAGCUUAAUGUAAGUAGCUGUGCAGCAGCAGGAACACUUUGCAGCUUAGAUAGUUCUUUUGCCAGAUAUCCUAAUGUAUUGCUCUUAAAUUCUGCAUUCCAUAGAGCCCCUGGCACAGACACAAUCCAGCCAAGUUCUUGGCCUGUUUAUAACAAGGAUGGGCUUUACUCCAGUUUCCAAUAUCUUGUUCCUCAGUUCCAUCUGAGACUUCAUCAGAGUGGCCUUUAUUCUCCAUAUUUCUAUCUGCAUUCUGGUCACGACCACUUCAGUAUAACUCUCAGAAGUUCCAGACUUCCCCUAGUCUUCUUGUCUUUGGAGACCUCACCAAAAUUGCCCUUAAUGCUCUUUUUACAGCAAUACAGGCUUUUUCUAGCCUGCUUCUCCAAAUUCUUCCAGCCCAUUGGGUAAUGCUGCUCAGUACCCCAUUUCAAAGCUGCUUCCCUGUUUUUGGGUAUUUGUUACUAGUAACACUUCUCAGUACCAAUUUUCUGUCUAGUGUAUUCUCUGUUGUUAUAACAGAAUAUCGCAGACUGGUAAUUUAUAAGCAAUAGAAGUUUAUUUAGUGCAUGGUUCUGGAGGCUCAGGAGUCCCAGAGCAUGGUGCCAGCAUCUGGUGAGGGCCUUCCUACAGUGUCAGGAAACGGCACAGUGUGUCACAUGGCGAGAGGGCAAGAGUGUGCCAGCUCGUCUGUCUUCCUCUUCUUAUAAAGCCACCAGUCCCAUCACGGGGCUCCACCCUGAGGCUCUCAUCUAAUCCUAAUUACCUCCCAAAGGCCCCACCUCCAAUCAACAUAUGAAUUUGUGGAUUUUUUAAAAAUCAUUUUUUAGGGGGGCUAGAGAUGGGGUCUCACUAUGUUGCCCAGGCUGGUCUUGAACCCCUUACCUCAAGCCAUCCUCCCACCUCAGCCUCUCAAAGUGUUGGAAUUACAGACACGAGCCACCACACCCAGCUGGGAUUAAGUUUUUUUUUUUUUUUUUUUUUUGGUGACGCAGCCUCGCUCUGUCACCCAGACUAGAGUGCAGUGGCGCGAUCUCAGCUCUCUGCAAGCUCCGCCUCCCAGGUUCACGCCAUUCUCCUGCCUCAGUCUCCCAAGUAGCUGGGACAACAGGUGCCCGCCACCACGCCCGGCUAUUUUUUUGUGUUUUUAGUAGAGAUGGGGUUUCACCAUGUUAGCCAGGAUGG
rnacentral:lncRNA from 1 species